AGACUGAUGAAAAUGUUGAGAUUGUUCGUGGUGAUAUAUUGGCAUGGUUGAAUGAUAGAUGCUGAGCAGGGGCGGAUCUAGAGGAGAUGAAUGGGUUCGUAUGAAUAAAAACACACUAUAUAUACAAAGGUCGAAAGUACUUAUUAGGUAUAUACAGUACCCUUGAUGAUUGAUGAAAGUCGUGUCUCCGCCACUCAUGCUGAAUUGUCUGCACUUGGAUUAAAUACAUAUCUGAUUCGUAUUAAUCUCAUUUCUAGUUCAUUAGUGUGUGUCAUAUUUGUUAAAAGAUCCAAACUUU
rnacentral:misc_RNA from 1 species